UACGAAGGGGGCUAGCGUUGCUCGGAAUCACUGGGCGUAAAGGGUGCGUAGGCGGGUCUUUAAGUCAGGGGUGAAAUCCUGGAGCUCAACUCCAGAACUGCCUUCGAUACUGGAGAGCUUGAGUCCGGGAGAGGUGAGUGGAACUGCGAGUGUAGAGGUGAAAUUCGUAGAUAUUCGCAAGAACACCAGUGGCGAAGGCGGCUCACUGGCCCGAUACUGACGCUGAGGCACGAAAGCGUGGGGAGCAAACAGG
rnacentral:rRNA from 1 species